AUGCAUCCCAACACGUCCACACAUACAUACUCAGACAGUAGUACAUCAAACAUGGCCGGAGCUCAUCGUAAGGUCCGCGAGCUGUUAGAGCACACGCGGCGGCGCUCGACGGCCGCGCUCAACAAUGUAAUGUCCCUCAUGCGCUCGCUCUCCGGGUCAUACGCGCAGCACCACGUCAAGGAGCGCGUGGCGCGGUGGCGCCGCGCGCUCGCCGGGCGGUUAUCGCCGCGCCUCGGCUCGCUGCUCGUCCACGUCGCGUACUUCCUCGCCGUCUCCUGGCUCGGUUACCUUGUCCUCGCGCAGCUCAGGUUCCGCGCCGGCGGCGAGGGGACGAGGCGGCCCGGCGCCAUCGAUCUGUUCUUCACCGCCGUCUCGGCCGCGACGGUGUCGAGCAUGUCCACCGUCGAGAUGGAGGCGUUCUCCAACGGCCAGCUCCUCGUCCUGACCGUGCUCAUGUUCGUCGGCGGCGAGGUGUUUUUGUCGCUCCUAGGCCUCGCGUCCAAGUGGUCCAAGCUGAGGAAGCAAGCUGUACGCAAAUCCCGUCGCGUCGAGAUCCACGACGUCGCCGAGCUUGAGAUGCCGCCGGUCGCCGCUGCUGGCGAAUUCGACAACCCAACGUCGAUUACGUCGACCGCCGACGACGAGAUGAGCAAGCCGUUGGACCGCUUCGAUGACACGAGGCUGCGGCGCGACGCGGUGUUGUCGCUCUUCUUCGUCGUCCUCGCCAUCCUCCUGACGGUGCACGUCGUCGGAGCCGUCGCCGUCGCGGCGUACAUCUUGCAUGCGUCGCCGGCGGCGAGGCGGACGCUUCGGGAGAAGGCCCUGAACGAGUGGACAUUCGCCGUGUUCACGACGGUGUCCACGUUCUCGAGCUGCGGGUACAUGCCGACAAACGAGAACAUGGCGGUGUUCAAGCGGGACACCGGUCUGCAGCUGCUGCUCGUGCCGCAGGCGCUGGUCGGGAACACGCUGUUCCCGCCGCUGCUGGCCGCGUGCGUGCGCGCCGCCGCCGCGGCAACCAGGCGCGUGGAGCUCAAGGAGACGGCGAAGGAGGGCGGGGAACUGACGGGGUACUACCACCUGCUCCCGGCGCGGCGGUGCGCGAUGCUAGCGGCAACGGUGGCCGGGUUCGUCGCCGUGCAGGCGGCGAUGUUGUGCGGCAUGGAGUGGGGUGGCGCGCUGAGCGGGAUGAGCGCGUGGGAGAAGGUGUCGAACGCGGUGUUCCUCGCGGUGAACUCCCGGCACACCGGCGAGACAACCCUCGACCUCUCCACCCUCGCGCCGGCCAUCCUCGUCCUCUUCGUGCUCAUGAUGUACCUCCCUCCAUACACGACAUGGUUUCCAUUUGGAGAGAGCUCCAGCGUGAAGGACCAUCCCACGGAGGAGACCCAGGGGGUGAGGUUGCUCAAGAGCACGCUUCUGUCACAACUCUCCUACCUUGCCAUCUUUGUCAUCGCCAUCUGCGUCACUGAGAGGGAAAAGCUCAAGGAGGACCCCCUCAACUUCAACUUGCUCAGCAUCGUCGUCGAAGUCGUCAGCGCUUAUGGAAAUGUGGGCUUCUCCAUGGGCUACAGCUGCAGUAGGCAGAUCAGCCCGGACGGGAUGUGCACUGACAGGUGGACCGGCUUCGCUGGGAGGUGGAGCGAUUCCGGCAAACUCAUCCUCAUUCUUGUCAUGCUCUUCGGGAGGCUGAAAAAGUUCAGCAUGAACGCGGGCAAAGCCUGGAAGCUUAGUUAG
rnacentral:rRNA from 1 species